rnacentral:rRNA from 1 species
UACAGAGGUCCCAAGCGUUGUUCGGAUUCACUGGGCGUAAAGGGUGCGUAGGUGGCAGGAUAAGUUUGAUGUGAAAUCUCCGGGCUUAACCCGGAAACUGCAUUGAAUACUAUUUUGCUCGAGGGUUGGAGGGGGGACUGGAAUUCUCGGUGUAGCAGUGGAAUGCGUAGAGAUCGAGAGGAAGACCAGUGGCGAAGGCGAGGCCCUGGACAACUCCUGACACUGAGGCGCGAAAGCGAGGGGAGCAAACAGG